UACGUAGGGGGCAAGCGUUGUCCGGAAUCAUUGGGCGUAAAGAGCGUGUAGGCGGUCCGGUAAGUCGGCUGUGAAAGUCCAGGGCUCAACCCUGGGAUGCCGGUCGAUACUGCCGGACUAGAGUUCGGAAGAGGCGAGUGGAAUUUCCGGUGUAGCGGUGAAAUGCGCAGAUAUCGGGAGGAACACCUAUGGCGAAGGCAGCUCGCUGGGACGUUACUGACGCUGAGACGCGAAAGCGUGGGGAGCAAACAGG
rnacentral:rRNA from 1 species